CAGAGUUGCAAAACUCCCAAGACCAUCGCGAACGCUACCUACAACCGUUGCUUCGGCGGGCGGCCCGGGACUCUCCCGUCGGCCCCCAGGCUCCCGUCAUGGGCGGCGCCCGCCGGAGGACCAAACUCUAGAACCCACGGCCUCUCUGAGUCUUCUGUACAAAUGAGUCA
rnacentral:misc_RNA from 1 species